rnacentral:rRNA from 1 species
UCGAGUGCCAGGUUACAAAUCUGGCUGUCGAGAUGCCUAAAAAGCAUUUCAUAGCAAGGGCCGGGCAAGACCGGUGCCAGCCGCCGCGGUAACACCGGCGGCUCGAGUGGUAACCGUUAUUAUUGGGUCUAAAGGGUCUGUAGCCGGCCGGAUAAGUCUCUUGAGAAAUCUGGCAGCUUAACUGUCAGGCUUUCAGGAGAUACUGUCUGGCUCGAGGCCGGGAGAGGUGAGAGGUACUUCAGGGGUAGGGGUGAAAUCUUGUAAUCCUUGAAGGACCACCAGUGGCGAAGGCGUCUCACCAGAACGGACCUGACGGCAAGGGACGAAAGCUAGGGGCACGAACCGGAUUAGAUACCCGGGUAGUCCUAGCCGUAAACGAUACUCGCUAGGUGUCGGCCACGGUGCGACCGUUGUCGGUGCCGUAGGGAAGCCGUGAAGCGA